CCUACGGGCGGCAGCAGUGAGGAAUAUUGGUCAAUGGACGAGAGUCUGAACCAGCCAAGUAGCGUGAAGGAUGACUGCCCUAUGGGUUGUAAACUUCUUUUAUAUGGGAAUAAAACGUUCCACGUGUGGGAUUUUGUAUGUACCAUAUGAAUAAGGAUCGGCUAACUCCGUGCCAGCAGCCGCGGUAAUACGGAGUAUCCGAGCGUUAUCCGGAUUUAUUGGGUUUAAAGGGAGCGUAGGUGGAUUGUUAAGUCAGUUGUGAAAGUUUGCGGCUAAACCGUAAAAUUGCAGUUGAAACUGGCAGUCUUGAGUACAGUAGAGGUGGGCGGAAUUCGUGGUGUAGCGGUGAAAUGCUUAGAUAUCACGAAGAACUCCGAUUGCGAAGGCAGUUCACUGGACUGCAACUGACACUGAGGCUCGAAAGUGUGGGUAUCAAACAGGAUUAGAUACCCCGGUAGUC
rnacentral:rRNA from 1 species